GAUGAACGCUGGCGGCGUGCCUAAUACAUGCAAGUCGAGCGAACAGACGAGGAGCUUGCUCCUCUGACGUUAGCGGCGGACGGGUGAGUAACACGUGGAUAACCUACCUAUAAGACUGGGAUAACUUCGGGAAACCGGAGCUAAUACCGGAUAACAUGUUGAACCGCAUGGUUCAACAGUGAAAGACGGUCUUGCUGUCACUUAUAGAUGGAUCCGCGCCGCAUUAGCUAGUUGGUAAGGUAACGGCUUACCAAGGCAACGAUGCGUAGCCGACCUGAGAGAGUGAUCGGCCACACGGGACCUGAGACACGGUCCAGACGCCUACGGGAGGCAGCAGUAGGGAAUCUUCCGCAAUGGGCGAAAGCCUGACGGAGCAACGCCGCGUGAGUGAAGAAGGUCUUCGGAUCGUAAAACUCUGUUAUUAGGGAAGAACAAAUGUGUAAGUAACUAUGCACGUCUUGACGGUACCUAAUCAGAAAGCCACGGCUAACUACGUG
rnacentral:rRNA from 1 species